AUUGAACGCUGGCGGCAUGCCUUACACAUGCAAGUCGAACGGGGGUAGCAAUACCCUAGUGGCGAACGGGUGAGUAAAGCAUCGGAACGUACCCAGUUGUGGGGGAUAACGUAGCGAAAGUUACGCUAAUACCGCAUACGCACUGAGGUGGAAAGCGGGGGAUCGCAAGACCUCGCGCAAUUGGAGCGGCCGAUGUCGGAUUAGCUAGUUGGUAGGGUAAAAGCCUACCAAGGUGACGAUCCGUAGCUGGUCUGAGAGGACGACCAGCCACACUGGGACUGAGACACGGCCCAGACUCCUACGGGAGGCAACAGUGGGGAAUUUUGGACAAUGGGCGAAAGCCUGAUCCAGCCAUGCCGCGUGAGUGAAGAAGGCCUUCGGGUUGUAAAGCUCUUUCGGACAGAAAGAAAUCGCACGGGCAAAUAAUCCGUGUGGAUGACGGUACUGUAAGAAGAAGCACCGGCUAACUACGUGCCAGCCGCCGCAGUAA
rnacentral:rRNA from 1 species